GACGAACGCUGGCGGCGUGGUUAACACAUGCAAGUCGAACGGAAAGGCCCUGCUUUUGUGGGGUGCUCGAGUGGCGAACGGGUGAGUAACACGUGAGUAACCUGCCCUUGACUUUGGGAUAACUUCAGGAAACUGGGGCUAAUACCGGAUAGGAGCUCCUGCUGCAUGGUGGGGGUUGGAAAGUUUCGGCGGUUGGGGAUGGACUCGCGGCUUAUCAGCUUGUUGGUGGGGUAGUGGCUUACCAAGGCUUUGACGGGUAGCCGGCCUGAGAGGGUGACCGGCCACAUUGGGACUGAGAUACGGCCCAGACUCCUACGGGAGGCAGCAGUGAGGAAUAUUGCACAAUGGGCGGAAGCCUGAUGCAGCAACGCCGCGUGCGGGAUGACGGCCUUCGGGUUGUAAACCGCUUUCGCCUGUGACGAAGCGUGAGUGACGGUAAUGGGUAAAGAAGCACCGGCUAACUACGUG
rnacentral:rRNA from 1 species